rnacentral:rRNA from 1 species
AUUGAACGCUGGCGGCAUGCCUUACACAUGCAAGUCGAACGGCAGCACGGGAGCAAUCCUGGUGGCGAGUGGCGAACGGGUGAGUAAUAUAUCGGAACGUGCCCAGUCGUGGGGAUAACGUAGCGAAAGCUACGCUAAUACCGCAUACGAUCUAUGGAUGAAAGCGGGGGGAUCGCAAGACCUCGCGCGAUUGGAGCGGCCGAUAUCAGAUUAGGUAGUUGGUGAGGUAAAGGCUCACCAAGCCGACGAUCUGUAGCUGGUCUGAGAGGACGACCAGCCACACUGGGACUGAGACACGGCCCAGACUCCUACGGGAGGCAGCAGUGGGGAAUUUUGGACAAUGGCGCAAGCCUGAUCCAGCAAUGCCGCGUGCAGGAUGAAGGCCUUC